GAUGCACUGGUUUUUUUAUGGCACCAUGUGCUCAUCCUAUGAUUCUUUUUAGGAGUUCUUCAUUGGGAAAGUUCCAAACCCAUCAGUACAUAAUUAUUUUAUGUAUUAUGUAACCACGGCAAUUUAGCAGUACAUAGUUCCUCAGGGCUGGGAAGACAGGGUGCUUCUGUAGAACAAAGAAGUCUCAAGAGCACUUGACAGGUCUGGAUUCUCAUGUUUCCCUAAAAACAUCUGAAUGUUCUAAUGUUUAGAAUUCUGCUCUUUCACAGUCUUUCAUCUACCAAACCUGGCAAGACUUGCCCGACGGGGCAAUAAAUUACACAGCUCCCCUUGGUCCCGGCACUGCAGCCACUCACUGCCUUGUGGAGCCUCCCUGUGGACCCUCACCUCUGCUGACUCCUGCACUCCGCUGGCCGGAGUCCCUGAGGCCUGCCAGUGUCUCCAGUCUCUGCAUCUCAGCCACACCCACUCCUAUGCCCCUGGGGUGACAGGUAAGGGUCAUGCAGGUGGAGAAGCGGGUAGAUGUUAAGGGUAGAUUCCCUGAAGCAGGGCCAACAGCACAG
rnacentral:lncRNA from 1 species